AUUGAACGCUGGCGGCAUGCCUUACACAUGCAAGUCGAACGGUAACCCGGGGCAACCUGGCGACGAGUGGCGAACGGGUGAGUAAUGUAUCGGAACGUGCCCAGUUGUGGGGGAUAACUGCUCGAAAGAGCAGCUAAUACCGCAUACGACCUGAGGGUGAAAGCGGGGGAUCGCAAGACCUCGCGCAAUUGGAGCGGCCGAUAUCAGAUUAGGUAGUUGGUGGGGUAAAGGCCCACCAAGCCAACGAUCUGUAGCUGGUCUGAGAGGACGACCAGCCACACUGGGACGGAGACACGGCCCAGACUCCUACGGGAGGCAGCAGUGGGGAAUUUUGGACAAUGGACGCAAGUCUGAUCCAGCCAGGCCGCGUGCGGGAAGAAGGCCUUCGGGUUGUAAACCGCUUUUGUCAGGGAAGAAAAGGGCGACUCUAAUACAGUUGCCUCAUGACGGUACCUGAAGAAUAAGCACCGGCUAACUACGUGCCAGCAGCCGCCGUAA
rnacentral:rRNA from 1 species